AUAACGUUUUCCCUCAAGCCCCCAUUCUAUUUUCGUACGGUUUUGCAGUUGCCUGUUCCUGAGAUCCCCUCCGAGGUUUAGGGUUUGUGGUAAUGUGGAGGGGUGUAUGUAUGAUAAUUCUGCAAAUUCUCUCUCCCUUAUUGUUUUGUUGGUAGGUUUAGAUGUAUGGGUAGCUAGAUGCAUAUGGCGUGCUGUGGAUUGGAUCACAAUCUCGUGAGUAUAGCGUUUGUUGGAGACAGAUAAGUGCUUAAAUGAUUAGGUUUUACGAAUUCUGAACCCUACGGGGAACUGUUGGUCAUGAAAACCAGGUGAUUUAUGUCUUACCGGAUUCUGAGAGGUUGCUUCUCAGAGGUUGUUUCUGAAGAACAUGCCAUGGUGGGUGGUAUGAGAUGUUGGUGUGCCAUGCAUAAAAAGAGAAGUCACAAAGUCGCUGUUAUGUUAUGGUUUCAAGAGGAUAUCUGUUAUUUCAGGAGGAGGAAUUAGGAGAAUGUGGCCAUGAUAGUGACUAACUAAAGAAUGGAUAUAUAUGAACCAGAUCAUUUAUGGAUGACCAUCUUUGGAGUUCUUUUCCAUUUACUUCUGGACAUUGUGGUUCAAAGGGAACUUUGUUCUUGCUUCAUUAUUCAUUGUUGUUGCAGACUUGCAGAUAGAAAAUAAUUCUAACAAGUGGAAGCUUGUUGCAGAAUUAGGCGGCAUUCUUAUUGGUUGUCUUUUGAUUUAACUACCAUUCAAAUUAGCAGACUCCUGAGCAUAUUUAUUAGGCUCAACUGCUACCAGAGGAUAAGACAACCAUUUUAUAGAUUCUUCAGUUGGAUUUCGGCGAUUUCUUGUGACUGUAAUGCCUGCCCUAUAUCAAGAAGGUGGACUCAUCAGUAUCUUGGAUGGCAACUCCACUGAAUGAUGCCCAUAAUACGUUCGAUGUGCUAUGAUCAUGUGAUUAGCAGCUUUUACAAUUAACUGAGCCACAUAUCCUUAAAUAUUGUGCAUCAGCUAGUUCCAUUGGGAAGUAUUCUUAUCACUGGUAAUUGCAAGCUAUUGUAUUUCUUGUAAGUUGCCGCAGAAGAUAUCUGGACAAAUGAUAGUAGAUUUAUAUGGUGAUAUUGGGAUUA